GGUCAAGCUACAAAGGGCUAACGGUGGAUACCUAGGCACACAGAGGCGAUGAAGGACGUGGUUACCGACGAUAUACUCCGGGGAGCUGGAAGCAAGCAUUGAGCCGGAGGUUUCCGAAUGGGGCAACCCUUAGUACAGUCAUCUGAAUAUAUAGGAUGAUAUGAGCCAACUCAGCGAACUGAAACAUCUUAGUAGCUGAAGGAAGAGAAAGAAAAAUCGAUUCCCUUAGUAGCGGCGAGCGAAGCGGGAACAGCCCAAACCAACUGUUUCGACGGUUGGGGUUGUGGGACAGCAAUGUAGACUGUGAAUGUUAAACGAAGUAGUUGAAAGCUACACCAUAGAAGGUGAAAGUCCUGUAGUUGAAAAUUGAAACAGCUUAGCUGUAUCCCGAGUAGUACGGAGCACGUGGAAUUCCGUAUGAAUCAGCGAGGACCACCUCGUAAGGCUAAAUACUCCUGUGUGACCGAUAGUGAAACAGUACCGCGAGGGAAAGGUGAAAAGAACCCCGGAAGGGGAGUGAAAUAGAACAUGAAACCGUUAGCCUACAAGCAAUAGAAGGACGAUUUAACGUCUGACUGUGUGCCUGUUGAAGAAUGAGCCGGCGACUUACAGGCUGUGGCAGGUUAAGGUGAAAAGCCGAAGCCAAAGUGAAAACGAGUCUGAAUAGGGCGAAAGUCACAGUUUGUAGACCCGAACCUGGGUGAUCUAACCAUGGCCAGGAUGAAGCUUGGGUAAUACCAAGUGGAAGUCCGAACCGACUUCUGUUGAAAAAGGAGCGGAUGAGCUGUGGUUAGGGGUGAAAUGCCAAUCGAACCCAGAGCUAGCUGGUUCUCCCCGAAAUGUGUUUAGGCGCAGCGGUUAGUUUCCUUAUGCAGGGGUAAAGCACUGUUUCGCUGCGGGCUGCGAGAGCGGUACCAAAGUGAGACAAACUAAGAAUACUGCAUAAUAUUUAACCAGUAAGACGGUGAGGGAUAAGCUCCAUCGUCGAGAGGGAAACAGCCCAGACCGCCAGCUAAGGUCCCAAAAUAAUUGCUAAGUGAUAAAGGAGGUGGGAGUGCAUAGACAACCAGGAGGUUUGCUUAGAAGCAGCAAUCCUUGAAAGAGUGCGUAAUAGCUCACUGGUCUAGCGCUCCUGCGCCGAAAAUGAACGGGGCUAAGCAAUUUACCGAAGCUGCGGGAUAUAUCUAUCGAUGUAUCGGUAGGGGAGCGUUCUAUACGGUGUGAAGCAUUAGCGGCAAGCAGAUGUGGACUAUAUAGAAGUGAGAAUGUCGGCUUAAGUAGCGAAAAUAUGUGUGAGAAUCACAUACCCCGAAACCCUAAGGGUUCCUCCGGAAGGCUCGUCCGCGGAGGGUUAGUCGGGACCUAAGGCGAGGCCGAAAGGCGUAGUCGAUGGACAUGAGGUUAAUAUUCCUCAACUCCUGUGUGGGAGCAUAAUUAUGACGCAUGAAAGAUAGCUACACCCUUAAUGGAUUGGGAGGAGGUUACGACCUCCGUGUAGUCAAGGAUAGUGCCUAGAAAAGCUAAUUAUGUGUUGAAAGCAUAGGACCCGUACCCGAAACCGACACAGGUGGGGUGGUAGAGUAUACCGAGGGGCGCGAGGUAACUCUCUCUAAGGAACUCGGCAAAAUUGCUCCGUAACUUUGGGAGAAGGAGUGCCACCGAGAGGUGGUCGCAGUGAAGAGGCCCAGGCGACUGUUUACCAAAAACACAGGUCUCUGCAAACUCGUAAGAGGAAGUAUAGGGGCUGACGCCUGCCCAGUGCCGGAAGGUUAAGGAAGUCGGUUAGCUUCGGCGAAGCUGACGACUGAAGCCCCGGUGAACGGCGGCCGUAACUAUAACGGUCCUAAGGUAGCGAAAUUCCUUGUCGGGUAAGUUCCGACCCGCACGAAAGGCGUAACGAUCUGGGCACUGUCUCGGAGAGAGGCUCGGCGAAAUAGGAUUGUCUGUGAAGAUACGGACUACCUACACCUGGACAGAAAGACCCUAUGAAGCUUUACUGUAGCUUGGUAUUGGGUUCGGGCUUUGUUUGCGCAGGAUAGGUGGGAGGCGUUGAUAUAUUCCUCGUGGGGAAUAUGGAGCCAAUGGUGAGAUACCACUCUAACAAGGCUAGAAUUCUAACUUUAAACCGUGAAACCGGUGAAAGGACAGUAUCAGGUGGGCAGUUUGACUGGGGCGGUCGCCUCCUAAGCGAUAACGGAGGCGUACAAAGGUUCCCUCAGGCUGGUUGGAAAUCAGCCAUUGAGUGCAAAGGCAUAAGGGAGCUUGACUGCGAGACCUACAAGUCAAGCAGGAUGGAAACAUGGUCUUAGUGAUCCGACGGCACUGCGUGGAAGGGCCGUCGCUCAACGGAUAAAAGUUACUCUAGGGAUAACAGGCUGAUCUCCCCCAAGAGUUCACAUCGACGGGGAGGUUUGGCACCUCGAUGUCGGCUCAUCGCAACCUGGGGCUGAAGUAGGUCUCAAGGGUUGGGCUGUUCGCCCAUUAAAGCGGUACGUGAGCUGGGUUCAGAACGUCGUGAGACAGUUCGGUCCAUAUCCGGUGUAGGCGCAAGAGUAUUGAGAGGAGUCUUCCUUAGUACGAGAGGACCGGGAAGGACGCACCGCUGGUGUACCUGUUAUCGUGCCAACGGUAAACGCAGGGUAGCCAAGUGCGGAGUGGAUAACCGCUGAAAGCAUCUAAGUGGGAAGCCCACCUCAAGAUGAGUACUCUCAUGGAGUUAAUCCAGUAAGGUCACGGGAAGAACACCCGUUAAUAGGCAUUAGGUGGAAGUAUGGCAACAUAUGCAGCCGAGAUGUCCUAACAGACCGAGGGCUUGUCCUU
rfam:Leptolyngbya sp. PCC 7376, complete genome.